ensembl:lncRNA novel transcript
AGCGAAGCCCGCGCCUGUGCCAAGGCUUGCGAGCAGAAUGCCUUCGCGAUGGACGCCCGCAUUCCACCCCCUUGACCGCUGGGACCCCUAGUGGCGGGUGGGUGGAGCGCGCUCCAUUUACCUGCUGGUUACCUCGUGAGGCGCCUCAGGUGAGAAGCCAAAUGGAAAACCAGUGAAGUGACCAUGGGUGCCAAAGGCCUAAAGAGCAGGCAGGGAAAUGAGACUCGGGACCACUGGAGCCCCAUGCUGCCUCUGACAAGCCCUGGAGCUCUGGGUCUCAAAGGCUGGCUGGCAACAGGCUGCACCGGGCAUGGGAAUCCGCCGGCUGCGAGAUUGGGGGUAAAGAGCUCAGACAUGGUCAGAAGCCUCUGCCUAACACACGGCUCCAGUAGCCACUCCUCAGGCCUCCUGCGCCCUCGGGGGUGCGUGACACAGGAGGAUGAGUUGAGCUGGCUGGUGGCCCCAGUGUGCCGUACUACUGUCCCUUGGGGAGAGUGGGACAGGGUGGGCGCCUGACACACACCACGCGCCCCAGAAACAUUCAGUGUGGACGUUUCCUUUUUCAGCAAGGACGGCGCCCAGGUAAACGCCACGUAACCCAAACCAUCAACACUGCAGCGUCCUGCCCAAGGCUCACGUGGGGAACCGGACAGGUGCUAGAUGAUGAUAGGAACGGUGGGCUCUGAGGGAGGACAGACAGGCUCACCCCACGGGGACCUCAGAACAGCCUGCCUCAUACUCAGAGUCCAAAAAAGAAAAGGAACGUACACAUCUCCUCCCAAGUUAAACACGAGAGGUUUGUCCUCAACCUCAGGGCUGGAAACCACCACAGGUAGGAGGCUGGGCACGGGGGCUCGGCCUGUCAUCCCAGCACUGUGGGAGGUCGGGUGCUAGAAUCCCAGCACUGUGGGAGGCCAGGCACGGGGGCUCACGCCUGUAAUCCCAGCACUAUGGGAAGCUGGGCGUGGGGGCUCAGCCUGUAAUCCCAGCACUGUAGGAGGCCGGGCGCCGUGGCGCAUGCCUGUAAUCCCAGCACUGUGGAUGGCCGAGGCAGGCGGAUCACGAGGUUAGGAGUUCGAGACCAUCCUGGCUAACACGGUGAAAUCCCAUCUCUGUUAAAAAUACAAAUAACUAGCUGGGUGUGGUGGCGGGUGCCUGUAAUCCCAGCUACUUGGAAGGCUGAGGCAGGACAAUAGCUUGAACGCGGGAGGAGGAGGCUGCAGUGAGCUGAGAUCUCACCACUCACUGCACUCCAGUUUGGGUGACAGAGCGAGACUCUGUCUCAAAAAAAAAAAAAAAAACAAGAACAUCUCCCACACACUCACAGUGCCUUUGUAGCCCCAGGGAAAGCAAUCCCUUAAGAUCAUUUGUUGGGUGAAAAGGGUACCAAGUACACAGUGUUAGGACCGUGCAAAAAAAGGGUGACAGGAAGUACCCUUUGCAAACUUUCCAUAAUGUGUACUUAAUUCACUGCUCUUAUAAAAUGAAAUUAAAUAAAACAAAAAAAUACUACUGAAAAAUAAUUGGGCAACAUGCGGUGGCUCACGCCUGUAAUCCCAGCACUUUGGGAGGCCAAGGCAGACGGAUCACCUGAGGUCGGGAGUUCGAGACCAGCCUGGCCAAGAUGAUGAAACCCUGUCUCCACUAAAAAUACAAAAAUUAGCUGGGCAUGGUGGCAGGCACCUGUAAUCCCAGCUUCUCGGGAGACUGAGGCAGGAAAAUGUCUUGAACCUGGGAGGUGGGGUUGCAGUGAGCCGAGAUCGCGCCACUGCACUCCAGCCUGGGCAACAGCGUGAGACUCUGGCUCC